CCUACGGGAGGCAGCAGUAGGGAAUCUUCCACAAUGGGCGAAAGCCUGAUGGAGCAACGCCGCGUGGGUGAAGAAGGUCUUCGGAUCGUAAAACCCUGUUGUUAGAGAAGAAAGUGCGUGAGAGUAACUGUUCACGUUUCGACGGUAUCUAACCAGAAAGCCACGGCUAACUACGUGCCAGCCGCCGCGGUAAUACGUAGGUGGCAAGCGUUAUCCGGAUUUAUUGGGCGUAAAGGGAACGCAGGCGGUCUUUUAAGUCUGAUGUGAAAGCCUUCGGCUUAACCGGAGUAGUGCAUUGGAAACUGGGAGACUUGAGUGCAGGAGAGGAGAGUGGAACUCGAUGUGUAGCGGUGAAAUGCGUAGAUAUAUGGAAGAACGCCGGUGGCGAAAGCGGCUCUCUGGUCUGUAACUGACGUUGAGGCUCGAAAGCGUGGGGAGCAAACAGGAUUAGAUACCCGGGUAGUC
rnacentral:rRNA from 1 species